GCCUGCUGACUAUGGGAGGCUGGUGCCUGGGACAGCUCAUGCCACCUCCUCCUUGUGCACUGCCACCCUCUGCAAAAUUGAUGGGAAUGCACAGGACAAAUUGCUGCAAUUAACCUCUGAUGCACUGACUAAUCAGCUGGCACAGCAUCCAGACACAGCUCCUCUGAGCCUGGGAGAUCUCCUAUUCUGUAUCAUUGUCCCAGUCCUUCAGGAUGCUGUCUAGAAGGAUUCAUGCUGUUCCUGGCCAGCCCUUCGAUGGUGCUCCCAGCUUACCCAGAGACACUGGUGUUUGUAGAACCACAGGCUGUCAGCCUGGUAUUAGCAAGCGUGUGGAGCCUUUGUGUCAUCUCCAGGGGAGAGCUGAGUCCCAUUGAAGGCUGAGGACAGAUGUCAUUCAGAGGGAUUUCCUGAUGGGGUAUUUCAGGAGCCUUGCCACUGAGCCCUGGGGCCUGCGCUGGGAUGGAAGGCUGAGGAUGG